rnacentral:ncRNA from 1 species
UAAAAAGCGAUGAACGGGAAAAGUAAGGCCCUGAGCGCCCUCUUCCAGAGAGUGCGGGCAGGUGUGAGCCGCGCAGAUGGCCGGGCCUGAACGAACCCCCGUGAGCUUCCCCCUGAACCCCCGGAUGCUGUGGCAUUGCGGGCAGUAGGGGCAGACGUGCGCCGCUCGUUAUCGCGGCAGUGCUUUCAACGGGGAGAGCGCACAAAGUGACUGGCACGCUGUGCCGGUAAUUUAGGUGGUACCACGGAUACGGCAGCAUUCGUCCUAGCA